CGGUGGGUAUAACCACGUAUCUUAACAUUAAUAUGCUUAAAAUUAAAUCAAAAUUAGAGAAAUAAAAGAGGGACGUUAACUAAAUAAGAACUUUUCUUCUCCCGUCCUUGGAAGCACGUGUCAUGAAGUGAAGACCGAAGGGAUUGAGGUCUUCUUCCUCCUCUCCUCUCUCUCCAAUCCAGUGUCUCAUCGGAAUCUUCAAACCACCGGCGAUGCGUCUCAAUUCCAGUUGAUACGAGUCCAUAGCCUUAGGUUUCUUCAAUUCUGUUACCGGAAAUUGGAGCUGAAGGCGGGCGUCUCUCUGGUUGAGAAGACUGACCAUGGAAGUCUCCUAGUCUCUCUCAUCUCUAUCUCUCUCCGACUCCGUCGGUUUCGAAUCCAAAUCGUAAUCCGUCGGCGAUUCCGGCUGGCUCUCAUCCUUGGUCUCUCGGCGUCAUCGUCAGCGAGUUCUUCUGUUAGGCUGCCAACAGCUACUGGUGAAGUCUUGGAGAGGUGGAAGGGAGAAGAGUGACAAGAAGACUGACACGACUUGUCUCUCAUCGUCGUUCCUCGUGCAAGACGUUGUGGCUUACGGAGGCUAUGCUUUUGGUGGUCUAUGCCUUGUGGGUUUUGCUAAGAUCAUGUGGGGAUACUCGUAUUACGCGCUGAUGCCAAGGACGCUUUUGGUGGUCUAUGCCUUGUGGCCUUUGAGACUGUAUUGGCUUUCUCUUGUAAAAUUGUCUGGAACUGUCAAGAUGCAAAUGAAGCUUCUCGAGCGUUGGUGGGUUCUGCACUCAUGGUUGAAGCCUUGAAGCCUUGCUCAGCUCUUCUCAAAGCUAAGGAAAUAAACCUCCAUAGUUUUCAUAUAUUCUCAGACUCUCAAGUCUUCAUAUCUACCCUGUGCUUAGGGUCUGUUUUGAACGAGAUCGCAGGUGUUCUCCAUGACGGUAGAAGCGUUUCUACUCUCUUCAAUUCUCUAUCUUUUAGUUUCAUUCCAUGUUCAGGUUUUUUCUCUGGCAAAGACUAGCCUUGAAUGUAUGAACGUUAUAACCUUUGUGUUUUAAGUUGAAUGAAAGAAAUAGUUGACAAAAAAAAAUUAACCUUAUUAAC